rnacentral:rRNA from 1 species
CAGAGGGUGCAAGCGUUGUUCGGAAUUAUUGGGCGUAAAGCGCGUGUAGGCGGCAUAGCAAGUCGGGUGUGAAAGCCCUCAGCUCAACUGAGGAAGUGCGCCCGAAACUGCUGUGCUUGAGUACCGGAGAGGGUGGCGGAAUUCCCCAAGUAGAGGUGAAAUUCGUAGAUAUGGGGAGGAACACCGGUGGCGAAGGCGGCCACCUGGACGGCUACUGACGCUGAGACGCGAAAGCAUGGGGAGCAAACAGGAUUAGAUACCCUGGUAGUCCAUGCCAUAAACGAUGAGAACUAGGUGUCGCGGGAGUUGACCCCUGCGGUGCCGUAGCUAACGCAUUAAGUUCUCCGCCUGGGAAGUACGGUCGCAAGACUA